GAACUUAGGAAUAGUGAUGUCCAACUAUCUGUAAGAAAGGGAGGCU
rnacentral:sRNA from 1 species